UCUGCAUGCAUUCAUGGAAGGACCUCAAAUACUCUUUGGAAUCAGGCAAAGGACAAAGGAAUACAUGACCAGCUCCGCGUUCCCCAGCUCUUGGGCAGCAGGGUUAGGAUUCAAGCCCACGGCGGACUGCAGCAGGCCAGGCCUCUCUGCUCUGCCAGGGACUUCAGCCUGCUCUGUGGCCUUCUGGGCACCAGGCCCUGUGCCAGGCCUCAGGAUUAGGCUCACUUCUCCUAGACCCCGGCUUUGUAGGGGUCCCAUGUGGCCUGGUAUUCUGGAAUAAGCUGGAGAUGAGUGACCAAGAGCCACGGCCCCCUGUGGCCCCACAGUGUGCUUCCUUUGGCCCACCAACUUCUUCAAAAAACAACUUUUUCAAAUUGCCACCACCAUUUGAAAUUAAGAUUGUAUAGUUUUGAAUUGUCCUUGUUUCUUAUUUUCUCAUGAAAAAUUGGACAAUCAAGCAACUCUGGGCCUCCAGUCCCACAUGGCAACCAUUGCUACCCCUCUGGUGGACACAAAUCCUGGCGUGUCGUGCUGUCCCCUGCCUGGCCUGGUCUCUUACCAAUGACCUCUCCCCUGGUGGCUCAGCCCAGGGUGGUGGUGACGUCUUGGGCACCCUCACUUUCCCAGGAUCCAGCUGUAGUCCCAGCUGGGAGCUCAGCUCCCCUGGCCGCCCCAGCCCCACUCAUUCCCUGGAGUGUUUCCUGCUCCUCUUCAGACCUGAGCCAUCUCCUGCCCCCGAGGGUCAUCUGGGACCUGCGUCCUCUGAUCCCCUCCCCAGGGUCCUGCUGCAGACGCAGGCCUGGCCUGGGCCCCUCGUGCUUGUUGAAUGAAUGAGGGACGGAGGCAGGGAAGGAAUCAGCGGGCGUCCGAGCUCUCAGGGUCUUGGCUCAGGUGGACGUGAGGGCAGAACAGCAACUUGGAAGCAGGAGGCAGAAUUCUGUGCUGGCCCACUGCCCGGGUCCCCAGGCCUCCUGAGUCCCUUCGAGGGCCUCUCCCAUGCCAGGCUAUGCCAACGCAGACUUGGCGGAGUUUCCCACGCUGACGACCAGGGGAGAAAGAUGUCACAGCCCGGGACAGUCACCCAAACCUCCUGGUUGCCCCUGGUUCCCUCUCCUGGGAAGAGCAGCCUGGGGAGGCUGGCUCUCUCUCCUUCUCCCAGAGCCUCCGCCUCCCCCAGGCCCGUCUUUAAUUGCGCUGAGCAGCGGGAAGAACCUCGUGGCUCUUACAUCUGUUUUCUGGAAGAUUGUGAAGGCACAUUAAAGUGUGUGCAUGUGGGCGUCUGGUAGCGGGGCCUCUCUCGCUGCGUGAAAUAAUGGGGAAGGAUACGGGGAAGGAGGAGAGCGAGGGAGAGCAGACAGACAGACAGGGAGACAGGGAGACAGAGAAACGGGGUGGGGGCCGCUGUGGCCUCUGUGGCCAUGGCCAUGUUCUGAUUUGGGGCAUAUUUUCUUGCAGGUCCUAGAUGGACAUUUGGGGGAGUCACCCUGAAGCCUGCAGUGUGAGCCCUGCAGACACAGGCAGCAGAGACCUGCCCUGGGAGCUGUUUGGAGCUGCGGGGCUGCCUGUGUCUCUCACUGUCCCCUCUUGAGCCAGGUCCCAUGUCUCCUCCCAAGAGCAGGCAGGAGGCAGGGCUGGCUCCUUCCAAAGCCCAUCAGUGGCCUAGGAUGGAAGAGGCCCACCCCAGCCCAGGAGGACGCUGGGCACACUCAGGGUGGCCAGGAUGCUGGACGCCCUGGGAGCCUGGAGGGAGAUGGCAGAGGGAGUCGGCGGAAGGUGGCUGCUGAGCCGAUGGCCCUGGCACUGCCCAGGCAGGGAGAGGAGGGUUUGGUGAGCACAGCCCUCGCCAUCCAGCCCCCAGGAGGGAGUCGGCAGCCCCCCUUCCACAGCUGGGCAUGGAGACUCAGCAAGAGAGGGGCUGCCCCAGGGGACACACCAGGGGCCUGGGGCCCUCCUGACCACUCCCUGUCCCUCUCUCAGCAGCUUCUGUCUCUGAGCAGGGCUCUGAGGGAGUGGGGGGUAGGCUCCGCUCAGGACCCAGGAUGUGCCCUGGCAGACACCAGGCAGGGCCCCUGUUCCUCCCUGUGGUGGCAGGCACGGGGCCCAGGGUGGGGAUGGCCGGCCCAAAGGCACCACGGGAGGACCUUUCCCGGGAACUACAGAGGCUCAGGGACACAGGGCAGUUCUGAAAGCCAGGGCAGCAUCUGAACAGCCAUGGCACCAGCUGCCCCCUGACGGGUGGAGAGGAGGUGAUAUGUAGGGAUCCUCGAAGGCCCGGCCUCCUCUGGCCCAUUCUGUGGGGGAGCCAGGAGGUGAUCUCAUCCAGAGCCAUGGGCUCAGAGUUGUGUUGAUUCUACAGAAGAAGAGCAUAGUGGGACUGUUUCCCGUGGUGCUGGGAAUGGAACCCGGGGCCUCCUGCGUGCCAGGCCAGUGCAGUGCCACUGAGCUGUGCCGGGCCCUGCUGGGCAUUAUGGUGACAUCUGCCUGCCGCUCCCAUAGCUCUUCCCUCCUGGUUCUCAUUCAGCAACCCGCUCAGUGUUUCGAGUUCCCCACACCCACAGAGGGCCCGCGUCCACCAGUUCUGGGCUGGACACCGCCUUAAAGCCUGUGCCCCAAAUGGCCGAAGCCCACCCAGUCUCAGCAGCUCUCCGGAGUCUUGUUCAGAAUGCUGGGCAGUCAGGCUUGCUGUCUCUGGGCGUGUGUAGGACACACAAGGAUCCCCCCGACAGAUGUUGGAACCAUCUGGCGGUCACGGGAGAGUGGGCAGAAGGACGAAGCUCACGGCAACGCCGGGCGGAGCCGGGAAGACUGCUAGAAACGCAGCAGGAGCCUGAUCCAGCCUCACCUGCUGCCCGCAUCCUUGACGUAGCCAGGGAAUCAACAGCGCUGUCCUGUUGACGGCCAGCUUGAGUCGGGGCCCAGGGAGGAGGACGGCGUGACCUGCCCCGUGGACAGACAGCCCACGAGCUCUGGCCCCGCGGCCGUGGCUGCUGCUCAAGGAGGCCCAGCCAGUUCCCGUGGGGCCAACACUCUGAACCUUCUGUUUCCGUCAUAAAAUCAGCACCGUCCUCGGCAAAGCCCGACCCACUGCACCUUAUGAAUGCAGGACUGGUCGACCCGGGAGGGACAGAACCUCUGAAACCAGGAGCCCAGACACUUCUUCUCCGAGAUGCUCCCGACAGCCAUCGUGGUCCCCGUGGUGAGAAGCCGAUGGGCACUCUGGCCUCACGUGUUGCACGUGUAUGCCCAGCCCCUCCACCCACCCCAGGAAGCUGCUCACUUGCUUCCUGUCCCCACAGACCUCCCUGUUGGGACCUUGCAUGUAGGUGGCUCACAGGUACGUGACCCCUGGUGACUGGCUUCCUUGACUGAGCAUGACGGUUUCCAGGCCCCACCUGCUGCCACGCAUGUCGAUGCUUCCUCUUCAUGGCCGAGUAAUAUUCCCGUGCGUGGAGACCACGUUUUGUUAUCAUCCUCAGCCAGUGGACACUUGGGUCUUGCUCUGUGGCUGUGAUGAAUAAAGCUGCUCUGAGCCCUCA